UAAGACGUAGGAGGCGAGCGUUAUCCGGAUUUAUUGGGCGUAAAGCGCGUGCAGGCGGUGUCUUAAGUCGGAUGUGAAAUCUCCCGGCCUAACUGGGAGGGGUCAUUCGAUACUGGGACACUUGAGGGCGGGAGAGGGAAGUGGAAUUCCCGGUGUAGCGGUGGAAUGCGCAGAUAUCGGGAGGAACACCAGUGGCGAAGGCGACUUCCUGGACCGUUCCUGACGCUGAGACGCGAAAGCUAGGGUAGCAAACGGGAUUAGAUACCCCGGUAGUCCUAGCUGUAAACGAUGGAUACUAGGUGUUGGAGGUAUUGACCCCCCCAGUGCCGCAGCUAACGCGAUAAGUAUCCCGCCUGGGGACUACGGCCGCAAGGUUA
rnacentral:rRNA from 1 species